UUUUCAGGUUAAUAGGGGUUUCUCGAAGAGAAAACGCGUGAUUUUCGGUCUAAAUGGGGGAUUCUCGAAGAGAAAUCGCGUGAUUUUCGCUUAAAUGGGGGUUUUCCGAUGAGAAAUGCUUGAUUUUUGCUUAAAUGGGGGAUUUGCAAAGGAAAGACCGCGUGAUUUUCGGGUUAAACAAUAGAUUUCCGAAUAGAAAACGUGUGAUUUUCGGGUCAAAUGGGGGAUUCUCGAAGAGAAAACGCGUGAUUUUCGGGUUAAAUGGGGGAUUCUCAAAGAGAAAACGCGUGAUUUUUGGGUUAAAUGGGGGAUUCUCGAAGAAGAAAACGCGUGAUUUUCGGGUUAAAUGGGAAAUUAUCGAAGAGAAAACGCGCCAGCCGCGGGCCCGCACGGCGCAUGCGCCAGCCGCGGGCCCGCACGGCGCAUGCGCC
rnacentral:lncRNA from 7 species